ACCGCAUACGUCCUGAGGGAGAAAGUGGGGGAUCUUCGGACCUCACGCUAUCAGAUGAGCCUAGGUCGGAUUAGCUAGUUGGUGGGGUAAAGGCCUACCAAGGCGACGAUCCGUAACUGGUCUGAGAGGAUGAUCAGUCACACUGGAACUGAGACACGGUCCAGACUCCUACGGGAGGCAGCAGUGGGGAAUAUUGGACAAUGGGCGAAAGCCUGAUCCAGCCAUGCCGCGUGUGUGAAGAAGGUCUUCGGAUUGUAAAGCACUUUAAGUUGGGAGGAAGGGCAGUAAGUUAAUACCUUGCUGUUUUGACGUUACCAACAGAAUAAGCACCGGCUAACUUCGUGCCAGCAGCCGCGGUAAUACGAAGGGUGCAAGCGUUAAUCGGAAUUACUGGGCGUAAAGCGCGCGUAGGUGGUUCAGCAAGUUGGAUGUGAAAUCCCCGGGCUCAACCUGGGAACUGCAUCCAAAACUACUGAGCUAGAGUACGGUAGAGGGUGGUGGAAUUUCCUGUGUAGCGG
rnacentral:rRNA from 1 species